CGCGCGCGGCCGCGCCUGCUGCGCUGAUGCCACUCCUGCGGCUGUGCCUCCUCCCACCGCCGCCCACCGGCCGUCGAGCGAGUGGGCCCCGCGCGGCUCGCCUGCCGUUUCCGUCGCCUCCAGGCACGACCGUGCCACCAUGGUCGUGGCCCUUUUCUGAAGCAUGUGACUGGUGGCGGUGCAGUGGGUUCGGCAUAGUAUUAUUGCAGAUGAUUGCCAAUACGCAGAAUGAUGAGAUCAUAGCUCCUGUCCUUGAUGAACUGCUACUACUUGAGAAUACUACUGCCAAUAAAGGGGGGUUGUGCAAUUCAGCAGUGAUUUGAACCCCUCUAAUAGGUCCCAGUGUCCAUGGGUAUGCAAGCGUUUCUGGCUGCCUGAUGGAGGAAGUCGCUGGGAGAUAGAUAAACUCAUGUGCCAUAUUGUUAUGCAUGAACAAGAGUUCUGAGAUAUCUAGCAUGUUUCAAAUCUAGACAGAUAGACAUUGAUCUGUAAAUUCUAUCAGAACAAGGCAACAUUUGAUGGCACAAGCUUGAUGCCUUGAUCACGCUCAUCUUCUCUGCAGGAAGGACGAUGGCACUAUAUAUGCUCUUGGAGAAAGUGGAGGUCGGCCAUUGAUAGGUCUAAGAUUUCAUGUGCAGGCAUAAAGAAAGAGCUGAAUUGUACUGCGACAUCAGAACAUAUGGCACUAGUUAAUUACGGGGGCGCGCGCUGCGAUGCCUGAACAUAUUGUACUUUAACAUCAGACCAUAGAUGGGAGAGGAAGCACCUGGGGAAGGGCAGCAUAGAGGAGUAUAUCAAAAGUAGAGCAGCAGACGCACUUGCUGCUGUACUUGGAGGGUAUAUACAAUACGCCGUGGCACGAGGGGAGCAUCAGUGCUAGCUAGCUUGAUCUCUCCUUUUAAGGGCUUCCUUUCUUCCAGGCCACCAUCACCACACCAGCAUGUGAAAAGGCUAUUAUUGCCCUGAAUUUGCAGAUACCCAAACAUGUAUUGUCAGGUACGCCUCACAUGCAUAUGAUUGGUGAAGAAAGAGAGGGAAAGAAAAGAAAUAAUAAAGAAAGGAAAAAGGAUGCUCCGUGGUGGGUCAAAUCAUACGCGGCGGGCGCAGGACCAUUGACGCGACACUCUUCAUACUCAUCUCAUAUACGAGGCCAGUAUGAGAAGCGCCAGACAGUCCGGACAUUUAAGGAGC